rnacentral:lncRNA from 1 species
UUGGCAAAUUAGGAAAAUGACUUCUGAGUCCUGCAGACACAGCUCCAGGGGGUGAUGAUGGAUCCUCAGUCUGUCUCAUGGCACCACAUUGGUUACCUGCACAUCAAGGCCUGAGCCACGAGAAAAUGAGGACUUCCACCACGUAAAUAGAUGGAGAGCAGCAGCACCGGCAUGAACGCUGGACCAGAUUCUGCAGGCCCGGCCUGUCCU